AAGAGUAUAAUCGCAAGAUUGAAAUUCAAAGGAAUUGACGGGAGUCUACACAAGCGGUGGAGCAUGUGGUUUAAUUCGAUAAUACGCGCAGAACCUUACCAAUUCUUGUAAAUAUUUUUAAAAUAUUUUUUAAAAAAUACAGGCGUUGCAUGGCUGUCGUCAGCUCGUGUUGUGAGAUGUUUGGUUUAUUCCCUUAACGAGCGAAACCCCUAUUUUUAGUUGCUAAUUUAUAUUAAUAGACUCUUUUUAUAAAUGCACUUUAAAAAAAGUUAAUGACAUAUUAAUGGAAAUGGGGAUUACGUCAAGUCUUCAUGGCCCUUAUGAAUUGGGCUACACACGUGCUACAAUGAUAAAUACAAUGAGAGGCAAUAAUAAUAAAAAAUUGGAGCAAAUCUUUAAAAUUUAUCUUAGUUCGGAUUAUGGGCUGCAACUCGCCCAUAUAAAGUUGGAAUCGCUAGUAAUCGC
rnacentral:rRNA from 1 species